AACGUAGGAGACAAACGUUAUCCGGAGUUACUGGGCGUAAAGGGCGUGUAGGCGGUUCGUUAAGUCUGGCGUGAAAGCUCUCGGCUAAACCGGGAGAGGUCGUUGGAUACUGGCAAACUAGAGGACGGUAGAGGCGUGUGGAAUUCCGGGUGUAGUGGUGAAAUGCGUAGAGAUCCGGAGGAACACCAGUGGCGAAGGCGGCGUUCUGGACUGUAACUGACACUGAUGAACGAAAGCCAGGGGAGCAAACGGG
rnacentral:rRNA from 1 species